AAGGAAAGGGCAAGGUUAACAAGUGAUGAAGACUUGUUGUUUAUGUGAUGUAAUUAUGUUUUAAACUCAUGUUAAAGUUGUGUAGGACUUAUUAUUUGUUUAUGUUUCCGCAUAAAUGUUUAAGGUUAGAUUAACUUGGGAUUGUAUCGUUAUUCAGAUGUUGUAACCCCAUAAGGGGAGGAUUAUUUCUAUCUAUUGCAUAAGUUGCUUUUAUUAUGG
rnacentral:lncRNA from 1 species